rnacentral:rRNA from 1 species
CCUACGGGCGGCAGCAGUGAGGAAUCUUGGUCAAUGGACGAGAGUCUGAACCAGCGAAGUAGCGUGAAGGAUGACUGCUCUAUGGGUUGUAAACUUCUUUUAUAAAGGAAUAAAACGAGGCACGUGUGCCUUUUUGCAUGUACUUUAUGAAUAAGGAUCGGCUAACUCCGUGCCAGCAGCCGCGGUAAUACGGAGGAUCCGAGCGUUAUCCGGAGUUAUUGGGUUUAAAGGGAGCGUAGAUGGGUUGUUAAGUCCGUUGUGAAAGUUUGCGGCUCAACCGUAAAAUUGCAAUUGAUACUGGCAGUCUUGAGUACAGGUGAGGGAGGCGGAAUUCGUGGUGUAGCGGUGAAAUGCUUAGAUAUCACGAAGAACCCCGAUUGCGAAGGCAGCUUACUAAACUGUGACUGACAUUGAGGCUCGAAAGUGUGGGUAGCAAACAGGAUUAGAUACCCUGGUAGUC